UACGUAGGCAGCGAGCGUUGUUCGGAGUUACUGGGCGUAAAGGGUGUGUAGGCGGUUGUUUAAGUUUGGUGUGAAAUCUCCCGGCUCAACUGGGAGGGUGCGCCGAAUACUGAAUGACUUGGAGUGCGGAGAGAAGGAAGUGGAAUUCCUGGUGUAGCGGUGAAAUGCGUAGAUAUCAGGAGGAACACCGGUGGUGUAGACGGCUUUCUGGACCGUAACUGACGCUGAGACACGAAAGCUAGGGGAGCAAACAGG
rnacentral:rRNA from 1 species